AGAGACAGCUGUUUGUCCCCCAGUAUCCUUCAGACAAAGCCAUAUAUGAUUGAAGGUUAUCAGUACUGUGCUUUUGGAGGAUUCAGAAGAAGUUAUAUCUGAUUGGGAGAUUGAAAAGGAUUGGCCUGAAGGAGAGGUGGUUUUUGAACUGCAUCUUAAAGGAUGAGGAAACUGAGGCUGAGAGGGUAGAGAACUUUGCCUGAGGUCACUCAGCAGGGACCCACCCAUCACAGUAAAUGCCAGCACUGCUGAUGCCAAAACAAUGUUAUUUGUAGGCCCUCGGAAUUUGUGACCUGAAGGAAGAAGAGCAGGGCCGUGGGAAGUAUGUAACCAGUGUCAUGCCCCUGGUCCCAAGGAAGCAGUGGCUUGGCCUGAACACCCUGUCCUACCUGGUCCUACCUGGAUGCUGGCCUCAGUAAGCUCCUGGGCUCAUUGAAGAUGAACCUAGCAGUAGUAUUUACACCACUUGUUGUGUGCCCACUGUGGGCCCGGCGCCAUGCCGAGUGCUCUAUGGAUGUGAGUGCUGGGAGAGAAAAGCAUACGACAUAGACAGGGAGGUCAAGCUCCACCACGCAGAUGAGGUGCAGGCCACCAGUCUUCCUCUGCCACAUCUCUUUCUGAAAAGGACUUCACAUUCACCCUUGCAAUCCAUGUGGGGACACUGUUGGAUAGGAGGCGUGGUCCCAGCGUGGUCUCCCUGUCUGGGCCUCUGCCUAUGCCAAAUGUUUGCCUUACGCUGCACACUCAAGAGGUUCCAUGUAUACAGAUGGGAAUUCCAGAGCUACAGAAAAGGCAGCAAGCACCAUGAUUUAAGCUAACCAGUGUGGAUUCACACCUUCCUCUCUCUCUAUCAGUGGCAGAACUACCAGCUAGAGUAAGAAGUGGUUGAUCCAGGACCUAAACAUUCUGGAAACUCUUGCCCACUUCUGGGAGAAAUGACCCAAUCCAUAGUACUAAGCACACCUUAACUUUCGUAGGACGCAGGCAAGUUGUCAUACCGUGUGCCUAAAUAUAGAAAAAUGAUCCACUGGACUAAUAAAGUGUUAAAUAAAA
rnacentral:lncRNA from 1 species